rnacentral:rRNA from 1 species
GAUGAACGCUGGCGGCGUGCCUAAUACAUGCAAGUCGAGCGAACGGACGAGAAGCUUGCUUCUCUGAUGUUAGCGGCGGACGGGUGAGUAACACGUGGAUAACCUACCUAUAAGACUGGGAUAACUUCGGGAAACCGGAGCUAAUACCGGAUAAUAUUUUGAACCGCGUGGUUCAAAAGUGAAAGACGGUCUUGCUGUCACUUAUAGAUGGAUCCGCGCUGCAUUAGCUGGUUGGUAAGGUAACGGCUUACCAAGGCAACGAUGCAUAGCCGACCUGAGAGGGUGAUCGGCCACACUGGAACUGAGACACGGUCCAGACUCCUACGGGAGGCAGCAGUAGGGAAUCUUCCGCAAUGGGCGAAAGCCUGACGGAGCAACGCCGCGUGAGUGAUGAAGGUCUUCGGAUCGAAAAACUCUGUUAUUAGGGAAGAACAUAUGUGUAAGUAACUGUGCACAUCUUGACGGUACCUAAUCAGAAAGCCACGGCUAACUACGUGCCAGCAGCCGCGGUAAUACGUAGGUGGCAAGCGUUAUCCGGAAUUAUUGGGCGUAAAGCGCGCGUAGGCGGUUUUUUAAGUCUGAUGUGAAAGCCCACGGCUCAACCGUGGAGGGUCAUUGGAAACUGGAAAACUUGAGUGCAGAAGAGGAAAGUGGAAUUCCAUGUGUAGCGGUGAAAUACGCAGAGAUAUGGAGGAACACCAGUGGCGAAGGCGACUUUCUGGUCUGUAACUGACGCUGAUGUGCGAAAGCGUGGGGAUCAAACAGGAUUAGAUACCCUGGUAGUCCACGCCGUAAACGAUGAGUGCUAAGUGUUAGGGGGUUUCCGCCCCUUAGUGCUGCAGCUAACGCAUUAAGCACUCCGCCUGGGGAGUACGACCGCAAGGUUGAAACUCAAAGGAAUUGACGGGGACCCGCACAAGCGGUGGAGCAUGUGGUUUAAUUCGAAGCAACGCGAAGAACCUUACCAAAUCUUGACAUCCUUUGACAACUCUAGAGAUAGAGCCUUCCCCUUCGGGGGACAAAGUGACAGGUGGUGCAUGGUUGUCGUCAGCUCGUGUCGUGAGAUGUUGGGUUAAGUCCCGCAACGAGCGCAACCCUUAAGCUUAGUUGCCAUCAUUAAGUUGGGCACUCUAAGUUGACUGCCGGUGACAAACCGGAGGAAGGUGGGGAUGACGUCAAAUCAUCAUGCCCCUUAUGAUUUGGGCUACACACGUGCUACAAUGGACAAUACAAAGGGCAGCGAAACCGCGAGGUCAAGCAAAUCCCAUAAAGUUGUUCUCAGUUCGGAUUGUAGUCUGCAACUCGACUACAUGAAGCUGGAAUCGCUAGUAAUCGUAGAUCAGCAUGCUACGGUGAAUACGUUCCCGGGUCU